rnacentral:rRNA from 1 species
GAUGAACGCUAGCGGCAGGCUUAACACAUGCAAGUCGAGGGGCAGCGAGGGUAAUAGCAAUAUUACUUGUCGGCGACCGGCGCACGGGUGCGUAACGCGUAUGCAACCUACCAUCAACAGGGGGAUAACACUGAGAAAUUGGUACUAAUACCCCAUAAUAUCUCAUGCGGCAUCGCAUGGGGUUGAAAACUCCGGUGGUUGAUGAUGGGCAUGCGUUGUAUUAGCUGGUUGGUGAGGUAACGGCUCACCAAGGCGACGAUACAUAGGGGGACUGAGAGGUUAACCCCCCACAUUGGUACUGAGACACGGCCCAG